rnacentral:rRNA from 1 species
GAUGAACGCUGGCGGCGUGCCUAAUACAUGCAAGUCGAACGAAGAGACGAGGAGCUUGCUCCUCUGGCGUUAGCGGCGGACGGGUGAGUAACACGUGGAUAACCUACCUAUAAGCCUGGGAUAACUUCGGGAAACCGGAGCUAAUACCGGAUAAUAUAUUAAACCGCAUGGUUCAAUAGUGAAAGACGGUUUUGCUGUCCCUUAUGGAUGGAUCCGCGUCGCAUUAGCAAGUUGGUAAGGUAACGGCUUACCAAGGCAACGUAGCUUAGCCGACCUGAGAGGUGGACCGGCCACACGGGAACGGAGAAAGGGUCAAGACUCCUACGGAAGGAAGCAUUAGGGAAUCUUCCGCAAGGGGGGAAAGCCUGACGGAGCAAGGCGGCGGGGUUGAGGAAGGUCUUCGAAUCGUAAAACUCUGUUAUUAUGAAAGAACGAUUGGGUAAUUAACUAUGCACGUCUUGACGGUAGCUAAUCAGAAAGCCACGGCUAACUACGUG